rnacentral:rRNA from 1 species
GAUGAACGCUGGCUACAGGCUUAACACAUGCAAGUCGAGGGGAAACGACGGGGAAGCUUGCUUCCCCGGGCGUCGACCGGCGCACGGGUGAGUAACGCGUAUCCAACCUGCCUCUGACUGAGGGAUAACCCGUCGAAAGUCGGCCUAAUACCUCAUGGCAUCGUCUGCGGGCAUCCAACGACGAUUAAAGAUUUCAUCGGUCAGGGAUGGGGAUGCGUCUGAUUAGCUAGUUGGCGGGGUAACGGCCCACCAAGGCGACGAUCAGUAGGGGUUCUGAGAGGAAGGUCCCCCACAUUGGAACUGAGACACGGUCCAAACUCCUACGGGAGGCAGCAGUGAGGAAUAGUGAUCAAUGGGCGAGAGCCUGAACCAGCCAAGUAGCGUGCAGGAUGACGGCCCUAUGGGUUGUAAACUGCUUUUAUGCGGGGAUAAAGUGAGGGACGUGUCCUUCAUUGCAGGUACCGCAUGAAUAAGGACCGGCUAAUUCCGUG